UUCAAAUUUAAACCGUUGAUUCUUUACAAAACUCUAGAUAAUACAAUUUCAAUAGCACGGCCUUUACAUGUUGACUUACAAACACCUAUUUACUAAUUUUGCAAUUUCUUACAAACCCAACACUCAAAUGACAUGAAUUUUUUUUUAUAGCUUCUCAAUAUUUUAACUACACCUUUGGCAAGUUUGAACCAAAACUCAUUCAAAAAUUCUCAAAAAAAAUGGCUCAAAAUAUAACCAUCAACAAUUCCGUUCACUUACUUCCUUAAUUUGCAAGCUCUGGCUUCGACCAGCGAUUUCUUCCUCACUUUAGAUUUGAUUUCAUCAAAUCUUGCACAAUAGUUAAAUUCCUUCAAGUCAACUUUCCAACUCCACCUUCCAAUUGUUAAAUGCCUUUCUACAACUCUUUGUAUGCUUAAAAGAGUGACGGUAGGUAUAAAUUCCACAUCUAGACUUUAAACAGCCAUAACUCUCUCAUUGCAGACUCAAAGUUAACAACCCUUUCACAAAAAUUGUAGUCCUUCAAACCAGCUUUCCAACGAUAUCUUUCGUUUUCCAGAAACCCUUCUACAACUUUCUGUAUGCUUAAAAGAGUGACAGUCAGUAAACAAUUCACACCCUGACUUCAAACAACCUUAACUUCUUCAUACAAAACUCAAAUAACAAACUUUAUAUACCAAAAUUAUAGCCCAAAAUACAAGCUUUCUGAAUCUCUCCUCUAAAACCUGGAAUCUCCCUGAAGAAGUGGCCUCCCCUUCAGUUUUCUCUCAGACAACCCCUUGAAGCUUAUUGGUUAUGACCUAUAGCCAAUGAGUGAAGAUCCUCUUAUCCUUGCCUUAUCUAUCCACGUAGAUGGCCUAAGGCCACAAUACUAUAAUAUCAAUAUCCAUAUCUUUCUACAUCUUUCAUAUUAAAUAACUCUAAUUCUUCUACUUUUACUUAUAAAACUUACACAAGUUAGUUAAUAUUUCUAUAAACUAUGAACUUCUAUAGAAAAUAACUCAUUAUUUUCUAAGGUCAUUAUUAAAUAACAUCAAUAUAAUAAUCAUUAUUUUUACACUAUGAAUAAAUUACAACACAACACUGUUCCUAGAUAAUUUUAUAAUACCUAU
rnacentral:lncRNA from 1 species